rnacentral:rRNA from 1 species
UACGUAGGGCGCAAGCGUUAUCCGGAAUUAUUGGGCGUAAAGAGCUCGUAGGCGGUUUGUCGCGUCUGCCGUGAAAGUCCGGGGCUCAACUCCGGAUCUGCGGUGGGUACGGGCAGACUAGAGUGAUGUAGGGGAGACUGGAAUUCCUGGUGUAGCGGUGAAAUGCGCAGAUAUCAGGAAGAACACCCGUGGCGAAGGCGGCUCUCUGGGCCGAUACUGACGCUGAGGAGCGAAAGCGUGGGGAGCGAACAGG